rnacentral:lncRNA from 1 species
AUGAGUGUGAAAUGGGGCCGUUUCUAGGAGAAUGAUUGCAAGGCUAUAUUCUCUAAGUUCACUCAUGAAAACCAGGAAUAGUUCAGGGCCACAAUGGACACAAUAGAGAACUAAGUUCUUCGAGAAAAUAAAGUUGUGUUAUGCUUGUUGUCUCGGUCUACAUAUCGGUUGGUUCAAGACAUCAUGUUCAUCUUCUGGUAGAGUAAACCCGACAUAUAUUAACUAUGACUGGUUUAAGGUUUAAAAUGCCACCAACUCAAACACAGUGAAGUUUUUGCAAACACUCUCGAUAAGUCUGUCUAGUCUAGU